GAUGAACGCUAGCGGCAGGCCUAAUACAUGCAAGCCGAACGGUAAGUUGAGUAGCAAUACUUGACCUAGAGUGGCGUACGGGUGCGUAACACGUAUGCAACCUACCCUUUACAGGAGUAUAGCUCGGGGAAACUCGGAUUAACACUUCAUAAGAUCGUGGUGUGGCAUCACACAGCGAUAAAAACUACGGUGGUAAAGGAUGGGCAUGCGUCUGAUUAGUUAGUUGGCGGGGUAACGGCCCACCAAGGCGAUGAUCAGUAGGGGAACUGAGAGGUUGAUCCCCCACACUGGCACUGAGAUACGGGCCAGACUCCUACGGGUGGCAG
rnacentral:rRNA from 1 species